CUUACAUACCAACAGCCUAUGUCCAAUCAGGGGCAAGAAUACGUCUGAUGUAUUUCCUGCCUGUGAACUUCCCACACGUACCUGAUCAAACACAUCCUGUGCAGAGAGCUAAAUAUAGAUUGGACAGAAGUCUUUGGCCUGAUGAGAAGCACUUUUAAGUCUAUAUUUAAAAGAUACCUGAAGUAAAUUUAAAUAUUAACCUUGUCACCAAACAGUACCAGCUAAAAAUGACAGAGACUAAUCCAUUACCUAGACAAUCAUCCCAGGCUCCUGUGUUCUCCAUGGAGUUAGGGGCAGAGAUACCGGGACUUUGGCUGCCAGGCCCAGAAGCCGUCACUGGAUCGCCCCCACCAAAAUGAAGUUCCAUCCCUUUCUGAUGCCUGACUGAAGUAAGAACCGCAAACAGCACUUCAGUGCACCUUCUCUCAUCCGGAGGAAGAUCACGCCUUCCCCCUUUCCAAAGAGCUGAGUCAGAAGUACAAUGUUCAAUCUAUGCCCAUGCAAAAGGAUGACGUUCAGGUUAUCCGAGGACACAACAAAGGCCAGCAGACUGGCAAAGUGGUCCAAGUGUACAGAAAGAAAUAUGCCUACAUUAUUUCCUAUUCUACAUUGAACAAGGGCAGCGAGGAAAGGCUAAUGGCACAAUUGUCCGAGUGGGCAGCCACCCCAGCAAGGUGGUUAUCAUCACCAGGUUAAAGCUGCGCAAAGAUCCUGGAAA